rnacentral:rRNA from 1 species
UACGGGGGGGAGCAAGCGUUGUUCGGAUUUACUGGGCGUAAAGGGCGCGUAGGCGGCCAGCACAAGUCAGUUGUGAAAUCUCCGAGCUUAACUCGGAAAGGUCAACUGAUACUGUGCGGCUAGAGUGCGGAAGGGGCAACUGGAAUUCUUGGUGUAGCGGUGAAAUGCGUAGAUAUCAAGAGGAACACCUGCGGCGAAGGCGGGUUGCUGGGCCGACACUGACGCUGAUGCGCGAAAGCUAGGGGAGCAAACGGG